rnacentral:lncRNA from 1 species
CUGCGCAUGCGCAAAUAGCACACUUAAACAUUCACCCACUAAAUCAUAAUAAGCACAAUUCAUUUCAACGCAAAGGAGUAGGCCUCUAUUCUACACGUAUGAAGGCAACAGCAGUGAGUUUCCUGUUGUGUACCCCUUUCACCACCUGGGGGCAUCAUCACUCACCAUCACUACCAUCACGCAUCAGCGGCAGCACUUACCCACAGAGCUGCUGAAAAUCUUCUCUGUUCAGAGAAGACGUGGGGCAAGAAACGGCCACCAGAGGGAGCACACAUGCUAUGAAAAAUCAUGUAUAUCCAAUCUAGCAGUGCUCCUGAUGCGGUUAGAGGCUGUGACAAGUCUCUGGGCGGGGGAACCGAGCAGAGCGAGCAAACGGGGUGACGAAGAGGACACGACAUCUGGAGAACACGCAGAAGAAGAAUGCAGCAGUGAGAGGCUACAGAGGCCCCGGGAUCAGAGCAUGCUCAGAUUACCACCACGGUUUCAAUUGA